GUCAAACAUGUUUUCAUAUUUCAGAUGCUACGGCAACACGAUUAACUUUAUGAAGACGUUUUCUUUUAGAUACCAGUCAUCAGCUUGUUCUUCUCUUCUGUGUAAGACAGCCACGACCUCACCAAAGAUGGCAUCAGUCUUUCUGUUGGCUUUGUUGCUCUGGUUAUCCAGCGGACUGUUGGCGGCAUAUGUAAGCACACCCUUAAGAAAUAUAUCACUAAAAUAA